rnacentral:rRNA from 1 species
UUAUUAAAAACCCUGGUAGUCCAUGCCGUAAACGAUGUCUACUAGCCGUUGGGGCCUUUGAGGCUUUAGUGGCGCAGCUAACGCGAUAAGUAGACCGCCUGGGGAGUACGGUCGCAAGACUAAAACUCAAAUGAAUUGACGGGGGCCCGCACAAGCGGUGGAGCAUGUGGUUUAAUUCGAUGCAACGCGAAGAACCUUACCUGGUCUUGACAUACUAAGAACUUUCCAGAGAUGGAUUGGUGCCUUCGGGAACUUACAUACAGGUGCUGCAUGGCUGUCGUCAGCUCGUGUCGA